AGAGUUUGAUCAUGGCUCAGGACGAACGCUGGCGGCGCGCCUAACACAUGCAAGUCGAACGGAGUUAAGAGGAGCUUGCUUUUCUUGACUUAGUGGCGAACGGGUGAGUAACGCGUGAGUAACCUGCCUCAGAGUGGGGGACAACAGUUGGAAACGACUGCUAAUACCGCAUAAGACCACGGGGUCGCAUGGCCCUGAGCUAAAAGGAUUUAUUCGCUUUGAGAUGGACUCGCGUCCAAUUAGCUGGUUGGUGAGGUAACGGCCCACCAAGGCGACGAUUGGUAGCCGGACUGAGAGGUUGAACGGCCACAUUGGGACUGAGACACGGCCCAGACUCCUACGGGAGGCAGCAGUGGGGGAUAUUGCACAAUGGGGGAAACCCUGAUGCAGCGACGCCGCGUGGAGGAAGAAGGUUUUCGGAUUGUAAACUCCUGUCGUAAGGGACGAUAAUGACGGUACCUUACAAGAAAGCCACGGCUAACUACGUGCCAGCAGCCGCGGUAAAACGUAGGUGGCAAGCGUUGUCCGGAAUUACUGGGUGUAAAGGGAGCGCAGGCGGACCGGCAAGUUGGAAGUGAAAACUAUGGGCUCAACCCAUAAACUGCUUUCAAAACUGCUGGCCUUGAGUAGUGCAGAGGUAGGCGGAAUUCCCGGUGUAGCGGUGGAAUGCGUAGAUAUCGGGAGGAACACCAGUGGCGAAGGCGGCCUACUGGGCACCAACUGACGCUGAGGCUCGAAAGUGUGGGUAGCAAACAGGAUUAGAUACCCUGGUAGUCC
rnacentral:rRNA from 1 species